UACGAAGGAUGCGAGCGUUAUCCGGAUUUAUUGGGUUUAAAGGGUGCGUAGGCGGUCUUAUAAGUCAGUGGUGAAAUCUUGUCGCUUAACGACAAACGUGCCAUUGAUACUGUAGGACUUGAGUACAGAUGCCGUUGGCGGAAUGUGUCAUGUAGCGGUGAAAUGCAUAGAUAUGACACAGAACACCGAUUGCGAAGGCAGCUGACGAAACUGUAACUGACGCUGAUGCACGAAGGCGUGGGGAUCAAACAGG
rnacentral:rRNA from 1 species